CAGCAAUUUGUCGGAAAAUUCGAAAUUCUAACGAUUCAGUAACCAGUUGCCAUGGCUUAAUGCUCAUCUUACAAAGAUCUGGCCUUUUGUUAACGAGAUCGAACAUGUUAUAGGUGUAUUUAAUCAAUAAUCUAUAAAAAGAUUUAAGAUCAUUAGACAUAUAGUCAAG